UGAGGAAUAUUGGUCAAUGGGCGGGAGCCUGAACCAGCCAAGCCGCGUGAGGGAUGAAGGCCCUAUGGGUCGUAAACCUCUUUUGUCAGGGAACAAAAGCGAGUAUGUAUACUAGUCUGAGUGUACCUGAAGAAAAAGCAUCGGCUAACUCCGUGCCAGCAGCCGCGGUAAUACGGAGGAUGCGAGCGUUAUCCGGAUUUAUUGGGUUUAAGGGUGCGUAGGCGGCGGUGCAAGUCAGCGGUAAAAGCCCGGGGCUCAACCCCGGCGAGCCGUCGAAACUGCAGUGCUAGAGAAGCGAGAGGUACGCGGAAUGCGCAGUGUAGCGGUGAAAUGCUUAGAUAUUGCGCAGAACUCCGAUUGCGAAGGCAGCGUACUGGCGCCUGACUGACGCUGAGGCACGAAAGCGUGGGGAUCGAACAGGAUUAGAUACCC
rnacentral:rRNA from 1 species